CCUACGGGUGGCAGCAGUGGGGAAUAUUGCACAAUGGGGGAAACCCUGAUGCAGCGACGCCGCGUGAGUGAAGAAGUAUUUCGGUAUGUAAAGCUCUAUCAGCAGGGAAGAAAAUGACGGUACCUGAUUAAGAAGCCUCGGCUAACUACGUGCCAGCAGCCGCGGUCAUACGUAGGGGGCGAGCGUUAUCCGGAUUUACUGGGUGUAAAGGGAGCGUAGACGGAAGAACAAGUCUGGAGUGAAAUGCCGGGGCUAAACCCCGGAACUGUUUUGGAAACUGUGCAGCUAGAGUGCAGGAGAGGUAAGUGGAAUUCCUAGUGUAGCAGUGAAAUGCGUAGAUAUUAGGAGGAACACCAGUGGCGAAGGCAGCUUACUGGACUGUAACUGACGUUGAGGCUCGAAAGCGUAGGGAGCAAACGGGAUUAGAUACCCUUGUAGUC
rnacentral:rRNA from 1 species